UUGAAUCUCUAUAUAUUGAAGAUUGCCCUUGUCUUGAGAGCUUGCCGGAGGAGGGUCUUCCCAGAUCCCUUUCUACUUAGUCCAUUCAUGACUGUCCAUUAAUUAAGCAGAAGUACCAAAGGGAGGAAGCAGAGCAUUGGCAUACAAUUAGUCACAUUCCUGAUGUGACAAUUUCCUGAUUGGCGGCUGAGAUGAGAUGUUAUUGUAGCCAGUGUGUGGUGUUUAUGCUCCGAUGGCGUUCCUGACCAGUUACAUGUGACCUGAAACCAUGCUAUUUUGUUGCCAUCCAUUCUCAUUUGUGACCAGAUGAAUGGCACCACCACUCCUCUCACACACGACCAGAAGAAUGCUGCUGUUCCUGACCACUUACAUGUGACCUGAAACCAUUCUAUUUUGUUCCACCGCCACAGAGCUCAGGUAUGGUCUAAUUUUAGACCCUGCAUUUGGAUGUGUACACGCUGCAGUUUGUGGUGCUUGUAAUUCUUUUUUCAUUUAGUUCACCAGAUAAUAUUCUCUUUGUUA